rnacentral:rRNA from 1 species
UUUAGUAAAUACUUAUAUAUGUGUUUAGGUUUAUUUGCCUUUUGCAUCAUGCUUAUUGGAUUGUUUUAAAAUAUUUUGUUAACCAAAAAAUCUAGAUCUUAUAAUUAUUUGUUUUGAACUUAAAAAUCUUAAGUAAAGAAUAAUGAAAAUAAUUUUAUGGUGUGAUAAAUUAUUCGUUAGAUUUUAUAUUUGUUUUACUGCUUUCUAUUUAAUAAUAUGUAAUUGGCUAUUAGGUUAAUUAUAAGUUUAUAUUAUUUUUUCUGUUGUGUUUUUAUUGGGUUAAAAGUACCCAUUAUUUGUAAAGUUGUUAUAAACUUGGAUUUGUGUUAAUUUAAUUAAGUAUUUAGCAGUAUAUAAAUAAAAUUUAGGUGGUAAUAAUCAAUAAAUAAGUAAUCCAAUUAUAUUAAUUAUUUCUAGUAACUUUUCCGUCUGUUUAUUAAAAACAUUGCCAAUUUAAAUUUUAGUUGGUAGUACCUGCCCAGUGUUGUUAAUAAAUGGCCGCAGUAUAUUGACUGUGCAAAGGUAGCAUAAUUAAUUGCCUUUUAAUUGGGGGCUUGUUUGAAUGGUUUGACGAGAUAAGUUUUAAUAUUUAAUAUUUGUGUGAAAUUAAUGUUAAGGGUUCAGAAUCCUUAUAUAUUAAUAAGACGGAAAGACCCUAGGAUCUUUUGUUUUUUGUUUGGGGCAAAUUUGUAUAGUUUAUAGAAAUUGUGACCCUAAUGGGUUAUUGGGUUAAGUUACCCUAGGGAUAACAGAGUAAUAAUUAAUGAGAGAUCAUAUCGAAUUAAUUGUUUGCUACCUCGAUGUUGACUUAGGUUUAAGGCUUAGGUGUAGUAGUUUAAGUUGUUGGUCUGUUCGACCUUAAAAACCUCCAUGAGUUGAGUUAAGACCGGCGUGAGCCAGGUCGGUUCUUAUCUAUUGUAGAAAUUUAUCAGUACGAAAGGAUAGUAAAUUUUUUUAUU